ACUCCUACGGGAGGCAGCAGUGAGGAAUUUUGCGCAAUGGGGGCAACCCUGACGCAGCAACGCCGCGUGAGUGAGGAAGGUUUUCGGAUUGUAAAGCUCUGUCGAGCGGAAAGAAAUGCACGAUGGCUAAUAUCCAUCAUGCUGACGUACC
rnacentral:rRNA from 1 species